rnacentral:tRNA from 1 species
GAUGUCAAGACGGUCGUUAACAUACACCCAAGGACA